rnacentral:rRNA from 1 species
UGGGGAAUAUUGGACAAUGGGCGAAAGCCUGAUCCAGCCAUGCCGCGUGUGUGAAGAAGGUCUUCGGAUUGUAAAGCACUUUAAGUUGGGAGGAAGGGCAGUAAGCGAAUACCUUGCUGUGUUGACGUUACCGACAGAAUAAGCACCGGCUAACUCUGUGCCAGCAGCCGCGGUAAUACAGAGGGUGCAAGCGUUAAUCGGAAUUACUGGGCGUAAAGCGCGCGUAGGUGGUUCGUUAAGUUGAAUGUGAAAGCCCCGGGCUCAACCUGGGAACUGCAUCCAAAACUGGCGAGCUAGAGUAGGGCAGAGGGUGGUGGAAUUUCCUGUGUAGCGGUGAAAUGCGUAGAUAUAGGAAGGAACACCAGUGGCGAAGGCGACCACCUGGGCUCAUACUGACACUGAGGUGCGAAAGCGUGGGCAGCAAACAGG